rfam:Asian citrus Psyllid, Diaphorina citri - Florida Strain, whole genome shotgun sequence.
CCCAGCGGCAAGUCGGUACGUUGAAUGCACCAGUUCUCAACGGAUUACUGAGGUUAAGAAAUGUUGCACGUGGUUGAUAUCCGGACGGGUGACCUUCUGGGCAAAUACGUGCUGCUAGUU